rnacentral:rRNA from 1 species
UACGUAGGGUGCGAGCGUUAAUCGGAAUUACUGGGCGUAAAGCGUGCGCAGGCGGCUUCGCAAGUCAGACGUGAAAUCCCCGGGCUUAACCUGGGAAUGGCGUUUGAAACUACGGAGCUGGAGUGUGGCAGAGGGAGGUAGAAUUCCACGUGUAGCGGUGAAAUGCGUAGAUAUGUGGAGGAAUACCGAUGGCGAAGGCAGCCCCCUGGGAUGACACUGACGCUGAAGCACGAAAGCGUGGGGAGCAAACAGG